UACGAAGGGGGCUAGCGUUGCUCGGAAUUACUGGGCGUAAAGCGCACGUAGGCGGCUUUGUAAGUUAGAGGUGAAAGCCCGGGGCUCAACUCCGGAAUUGCCUUUAAGACUGCAUCGCUAGAAUUGUGGAGAGGUAAGUGGAAUUCCGAGUGUAGAGGUGAAAUUCGUAGAUAUUCGGAAGAACACCAGUGGCGAAGGCGACUCACUGGACACAUAUUGACGCUGAGGUGCGAAAGCGUGGGGAGCAAACAGG
rnacentral:rRNA from 1 species